rnacentral:rRNA from 1 species
GUGCCAGCCGCCGCGGUAAUACGGAGGGUGCAAGCGUUAAUGGGAAUUACUGGGCGUAAAGCGCGCGUAGGCGGUUAUAUAAGUCGGAUGUGAAAGCCCUGGGCUCAACCUGGGAACUGCAUUCGAUACUGUAUAACUAGAGUUUGGUAGAGGGAAGUGGAAUUCCACAUGUGGCGGUGAAAUGCGUAGAUAUGUGGAGGAACACCAGUGGCGAAGGCGACUUCCUGGACCAAAACUGACGCUGAGGUGCGAAAGCGUGGGUAGCAAACAGGAUUAGAAACCCGGGUAGUCC